AAAGUCGUAACAAGGUUUCCGUAGGUGAACCUGCGGAAGGAUCAUUAGCAAGAUUGCGUGGUUUGGGUCGCCCCUUUGGGGGUGAUGGUUACUGCGCAAGUAUGCCAUCCUUGUGCUAUGUCUACAACACCGUUGGAUUGUGCUCGUGCUGUAUUGCUCGGGCACUCUCUCACACCUUUUAAAACACCCCUUUUUAAUUUUUAUUUUCUUAACCUCUUUUUAUGCUUGGCAACAAGCAUAUGAAAACAACAAUCGAAAACUGCCAGCAAUGGAUCACUCGGUUCUC
rnacentral:misc_RNA from 1 species